AAAGGGAUGAGACAACUAAGUGGGCAAGAGGUGAGAGAGAGAAGGGGGCCUUCUGGAAGCCAGGAAAGGGAAGAAACGCAGGAAGACGGGGCAUGCUGACAAAGCAAGGGGAGAGGAUGGAGUCAGGGAGAAGGAUGAGGCUGGAGAGAACAGAGCCCGGAGCAUACCCUUUUAGGCAUAUUGGAGUCCAGACUUUGCCCUGACAAUGGGGAACCACUGGAGCAUUUUACUGAAGUGACACAUUUGAAUUUAUGUUUUAGAGAGAUUUCUUUGGCUGCAGUACGGAAAAUAGAUGGGGUGGAAAGGAGAGAUGAGAGAACAGCAGGAAGAGCUGUUAGGAAGCCAUUGUGAGUGCCCAGGCAAGAGAUAAUAGCUUGGACUAUAGUAGUGACCCAGGAGCAAAAAAGAAAAAAAAGAAAGGCUCAAGUUAUUCAGGAGGUAAAAGGAACUGGAUUGGCAGUGCAUUGGAUGUGGGAGCCAGGGAGAAGAUGACAUCAAAAAUGAUUCUCCAGUUUUUGACUUGGGUAAAUGUACAACAGCAAGCAGCCCAGCCAAUUGAUUAGAAGCAUGGGCUACAGUUUCAACAGCCUGCAUUCAAAGUCUGGCUCUGUCCACAGCUAGCUGUUGAACCUGCGGCAAGGCACCGAUUCACUGGGUGCCUCAGAGUAUAAGAGAGGGAUAAUAAUUGUAUCUUCUGUACAGGGCUCUGGAAAAGGUUAAAUGAGGUAAAGUAUGUCAAAUGCUUGGAACGGAGCCUAGAAUAUCACAAGCACAAUAAAUCUUGGCCACUAUUACGUAGACAAGAUCUCAGGAGCAGGCAUAGUUUGUGGGGGUGGGAGCAUCAUGAGCUAGGUUCAAACACACUGAGUUUGAGACAUCUAGGGAACCACAGAACAAGUUCUGGGCUGGAGAUGUAGAUUUCAUUUGAGAGCUGCCAGCAGUAGAGAUGGUAAUUGAAGCCAUGGGAAUGGAGGCGAUUGUCCAGGGAGUGUAGGUAAAGUGAGAAUAGAUAAGUGCCAAAGGGCACAGUCUGGGUAUGUCAACAUUUAAGUGACAAUUUCAGAAAGAGAAGCCAAGGAGGAAACCAGAGAAAAGCAGUUGGAGAAGCAAGAAGGCAGCCAGAAGUGGUCCUGGUACAGCUGUGAUGGGGAGACAAUGACGAAACAGCAGGAACUGGCACCGAGAGUUAUUGGUGUAGCUUGGGCUCUCCCCUCAUCAUCCUCUCCAGCUGGGAGUCAUGUGACAGAAGCAAGAAGCCUGUCUCAGCACAUGUGUAAAAGAGCAAACUCCAGACACCCACGUCUGAUCUGUGCUGACCCACAAGCGUGAGGUGGCCCACCUUGGUGACUGGAAAUGACACCAUCCAAUUUUUCUGGCCGCUAUGUUGCACCCUUGAUUUUUUCCUUCAUAUGACAGACUUCACAGCAAAUACUCCUACUGAGUCCAAACAACCGCUACGAUUGAGAACAAGCAUGAAUCCGCCACCCACCUUCUCCUGGAAAUAAGGUUAUUGGGUUGCUGAACUCCCAUGAACCAAAAAGAAAACACUGAAUGGUAUCCAAACCAGCCUGGAAGGGACAGCGAGAAAAGCCAGAACCAAGGCUGACCAGCCUGAAUGCUGGUAAAUGUUAUCAAGAAUCUGGAGCAGAAGCCUCACUCUUCUAUCAAAAGGAGAAGAACCUGAAGAAAACACUUCUCUUCCUUCUCUCUGCCUAGGGGCAGUGACCCUGAAUUCAACCACCAUCAUCCCUUCCAGACACCAGAGUGGGGAGUCCCACAAGGCAGAAGGUGCCCCUGUGACCCAUCCACUUCUCUUCCAUGUUCUUUACCUCCUUGCUCAGGAAGCCAUAAAGUUGAGCUGAGUAGAAGGUGAAUUUCAUUGCAAAGUUUACACAGACUCUGCUGACAGGUUCAUGAAAACACUACUGAAUAUGUUACAUACCACCAAUGCUCACAGCACAUCCUGUGUUGGAAGUGAUACUUUUCCAUUGCCAGUAACCCUCCUUUUGUCCUAGGAGCUCACUGAACAGCUAAAAUCAGGUGGUAUUUUUACAUGGAACAUGCAACGUAUUAAGUCCUUUUGCUCAGUGACCCAAAAAGGAACUAAACGGUACCCAGACUAGAAAUCAAUGUCAAAUUAUUCAAAUAAAUUCCACUUAAAGAAUGGUGGCUUGGGAAGCGCUCAGCCAGAAAGAAUUCUCCCAAGAUUAGUUUACUGUGAAGUAGAAGGGAAGAACGUUUUAACUUUGGUUGGAAAUCUGAUGACAUUACAUAGAAGGUGAUGAAACAUCCUCUAAGAAACGGUUCUGAUCCACUGUAUGGCACCCUCCUCUCACAUUCUCCCAUUUUACCCAGUCAAGAAGUUCUUUUACAAGAGGCUAAGGAAACCAAGCAAUAUAAGAUCUAAUAAAAACUGAGUGCUGGAAAUGUGUGGGGAGAAAUCCGUAAUUAAACUGAGCAAUUAACUCCAGAAAGUUAACUGGGGCCAACUCUGACACUACUAUAAAGUUAUAAAAUCUCCAGCAUCUCAUUUCUUUGUCCCUUUACCCAAUUUCCCCUCAAAUGUAAGCCUCUCUUGCUCUCUCCUCUCUUCUUCAUAUUUAAUAAAACUGUUUGCCAGAAA